UGCAGAUAGAAGGUCUUUUUGAAAAUACACUAUUACUGGCCUAGGUGGCUGCCACAAAAAGUUCUGCUGCUCAUGGGCCCUGGGUCUCCUAGAGCCUGGGGAUAAGUUUGGCUGCAGACAUUA